UGUGCGUAAUAAAACCUAAUCGCCUGGGAGUCUCCUCCUUUCUGCAUCUGCCGGACACGAAGCCAUGGGGGGACAAGGUCCUCCCGGCUCUGAAGUCGGGCUGCUGGGGGACGCCCGGCGGCUUCAGCCACGUCUGCACGUGGGAAACCUCGAAUGAGCCUUUGCGUUACAUUAACUGUCCCGCUGCCGUCCACGGCUCCCUCGCCAGCAGCCUCCUUCUUCGCCUCCUGCAGCCAUCUCCGAAGCGGAGGUCGGGACACUCGCCCCGCGGCCCCCGACCGCGGUGAAGUGUGCAUGCCAGGGGAGGGGGCUGGGGUAGGCUGAACUUCGCAGUUUUUUUUUUCCUGUAAGUAGCUCACGUUUGCUGUGAUCUAUGGUGUGAGUCAGGAACUGAGACUUAUUGCAACCCUCUUCCCUCUAUUGGAUAAUUAAUGCUGAUUCACUGCUGUUUCUACCUACAAAUGUGUGUUUCGUUUUUCUCUGCAGGGUCCAUGGUUCUUUGGUAUGUUGUUAUUCCCUGAAAGGUUGAGCUGGAUGAGUCAUAGCAACACUGAGAGAAUGGAAGAUCCAGUUCUCACAGGACAGAAUGGUCCCAUAGGAUCGAUGAAGGGGAAGAAGAGGGACAUUGUGCAAGCUUAGCAUUUUCUUGGACAGCACCACGUUUCUCAUGUCAGAAUAAAAUAAUCUGUGUAUUUGCAGUUGCAGUGAAUUAGAUGGGAUAUUAUCCCUGUCUUGAUGUCAAAGGGCAGAAGCUCUCUUAAUUCCAAACAACAAAUCCUAUAACUGAAAUGUAUGCCUAACCACCUGGCUGUGUUUACAUACUUCCACUUGCCGCAUUUUUUUCCCAUCAAAGUUAGCCAAUAAAGUCAAAGAGCAAAACUCA